CAGCGCGGUGCUGCGCAGCCCCAGCGCGGCGUACAGCGUCCCGAGGAGCGCCCCGAGCCUAUAAACUGCCCAGCCAACGGUGAGACGAUUCGUCUUCCUUCCCAGCUACAUGCAGGAUGAUAUUCUUUCAGUCUCGAAGAUUCAGGAUCCCCAACGAAACCCCUACACCAACCGUUCCCACACUAACAGCGCCAGGAGAGAAAGGGCGUGACUUUUCCCUGGGCACUGUCAGCGCUCACAAAGCACACCGCACGAUGGCGGUGUGGACUUGCAAAAGAAUGAAAUUCAUCUUUUCUAGCUGUAAACCACCCAAAAUGCAGAUCCAAGUUCAAAACGUCACUGCUCUCAAAUAAUCUGUGUCGGGACAGAAAGAUUUCACCGACCUUCCCCUUCCAAGAGCAAACUCCCGUUUGCACCACACUCAAAACGGACUCCUCUGUGCUAAUAAAUUUUUUUCUGCCUCAUGGAGUCCAGCUACAAACUUGAAAACCACGGGCAAAAGUGUAGCUCACAGAAGUGCCAGCUGAGAAAGCUGUUGCUGGCCAAAACGGCCAGUGCACGCACACACCCUGCUGUCAGCACCUUCCUCCUCAACUCUGUGUGCCAUCGGCAUCCUUCAGGCUCCCAGGCACAUGCAGAUGCACUUGGCUGAGAAAAUAAAACGGAUUUGGAUCUGCUAAAACACCUGGGUAUGAAUAUUAAAUAUACACAUGUAUGAAAUCGUGGUACAUGUGUGUAAGCUGGUGUGUGAAGAGGCAAAGGAGCCACUUGGUCAUUGCAGCAAUGAUUGAUAACCUCAGAUUUUGUGGUUUCUCUGAGUUUUCUUUCACUUUGAGGGCUGUGGACUGCUGCUUCUCUCAGGAUGCUAGGACCAGUUUCGUGUCCUAGCUUUGCUGAAGGUUUAGCUGUCUCUGUUGGACAUUUAUUAUGUAUUUUUUUAAAACAUUUGGGCUUUGAUGUAA